AUGUCCAUCAUGAACUCCUUCAUCAAUGACAUCUUUGAGAAGCUUGCCGGCGAGUCCGCCAAGCUGGCCCGAUACAACAAGAAGCCCACCAUCACGUCCCGGGAGAUCCAGACAUCCGUCCGCCUCGUCCUCCCCGGCGAGCUCGCCAAGCACGCCGUCUCUGAGGGCACCAAGGCCGUCACCAAGUUCACCUCCUCCUAG
rnacentral:rRNA from 1 species